CACAUGCAAGUCGAACGGUGAAGCCCAGCUUGCUGGGUGGAUCAGUGGCGAACGGGUGAGUAACACGUGAGCAACCUGCCCUCCACUUCGGGAUAAGCCUUGGAAACGAGGUCUAAUACCGGAUAUGAGCGCCUGCCGCAUGGUGGGUGUUGGAAAGUUUUUCGGUGGGGGAUGGGCUCGCGGCCUAUCAGCUUGUUGGUGGGGUAAUGGCCUACCAAGGCGUCGACGGGUAGCCGGCCUGAGAGGGCGACCGGCCACACUGGGACUGAGACACGGCCCAGACUCCUACGGGAGGCAGCAGUGGGGAAUAUUGCACAAUGGGCGAAAGCCUGAUGCAGCGACGCCACGUGAGGGAUGACGGCCUUCGGGUUGUAAACCUCUUUCAGCAGGGAAGAAGCGCAAGUGACGGUACCUGCAGAAGAAGCGCCGGCUAACUACGUGCCAGCAGCCGCGGUAAUACGUAGGGCGCAAGCGUUGUCCGGAAUUAUUGGGCGUAAAGAGCUCGUAGGCGGUCUGUCGCGUCUGGUGUGAAAUCUCAUGGCUCAACUGUGAGCUUGCAUCGGGUACGGGCAGACUAGAGUGCUGUAGGGGAGACUGGAAUUCCUGGUGUAGCGGUGGAAUGCGCAGAUAUCAGGAGGAACACCGAUGGCGAAGGCAGGUCUCUGGGCAGUUACUGACGCUGAGGAGCGAAAGCAUGGGGA
rnacentral:rRNA from 1 species